UACGUAGGGUGCAAGCGUUAAUCGGAAUUACUGGGCGUAAAGCGUGCGCAGGCGGUUUUGUAAGUCUGACGUGAAAUCCCCGGGCUCAACCUGGGAAUUGCGUUGGAGACUGCAAGGCUGGAGUCUGGCAGAGGGGGGUAGAAUUCCACGUGUAGCAGUGAAAUGCGUAGAGAUGUGGAGGAACACCGAUGGCGAAGGCAGCCCCCUGGGAUAACACUGGACGCUCAUGCACGAA
rnacentral:rRNA from 1 species